GCUUGGGUGGCUCAGUCGGUUGAGCACCUGACUUCGACUCAGGUCAUAAUCUCACGGUUCGUGAGUUCAAGCCCCGCGUCGGGCU
rnacentral:tRNA from 1 species